rnacentral:snoRNA from 1 species
AUUCCAUGAUUUGGACACUUCUUUAUCAACUCCUUGAAUCUGUUCCAGGCCUCGUGAUAGCUUUUCCCAUCUUUUUGUUGAAAGGUUUGAAUUUCCAAUCUGAUUUU